AUUGAACGCUGGCGGCAGGCCUAACACAUGCAAGUCGAGCGGAUGAAGGGAGCUUGCUCCUGGAUUCAGCGGCGGACGGGUGAGUAAUGCCUAGGAAUCUGCCUGGUAGUGGGGGAUAACGUCCGGAAACGGGCGCUAAUACCGCAUACGUCCUGAGGGAGAAAGUGGGGGAUCUUCGGACCUCACGCUAUCAGAUGAGCCUAGGUCGGAUUAGCUAGUUGGUGGGGUAAAGGCCUACCAAGGCGACGAUCCGUAACUGGUCUGAGAGGAUGAUCAGUCACACUGGAACUGAGACACGGUCCAGACUCCUACGGGAGGCAGCAGUGGGGAAUAUUAGACAAUGGGCGAAAGCCUGAUCCAGCCAUGCCGCGUGUGUGAAGAAGGUCUUCGGAUUGUAAAGCACUUUAAGUUGGGAGGAAGGGCAGUAAGUUAAUACCUUGCUGUUUUGACGUUACCGACAGAAUAAGCACCGGCUAACUUCGUG
rnacentral:rRNA from 1 species